rnacentral:rRNA from 1 species
GCGGCAUGCCUAACACAUGCAAGUCGAGCGAGAAAGCCCUUCGGGGUGAGUACAGCGGCGCACGGGUGAGUAACACGUGGGUAAUCUGCCCUUGAGUUUGGGAUAACCCUGCGAGAGAAGGGCUAAUACCGGAGAGACCACAGGAACAUAAGUUCCCGAGGUUAAAGGCGGCGUAAGCUGUCGCUCAAGGAUGAGCUCGCGGUCUAUUAGCUUGUUGGUGAGGUAAAAGCUCACCAAGGCUGUGAUGGAUAUCUGGUUUGAGAGGAUGAUCAGACACACUGGAACUGAGACACGGUCCAGACUCCUACGGGAGGCAGCAGUGGGGAAUUUUGGACAAUGGGCGAAAGCCUGAUCCAGCAAUGCCGCGUGAGGGAAGACGGUUUUCGGAUUGUAAAUCUCUGUCGGCAGGGACAAAUGAUUCUAUGGUUAAUACCCAUAGGAAGUGAUGGUACCUGCAAAGGAAGGGGCGGCUAACUCUGUGCCAGCAGCCGCGGUAAUACAGAGGCCCCGAGCGUUGUUCGGAAUUAUUGGGCGUAAAGCGGGUGUAGGUGGCGAUGCAAGUCGGAUGUGAAAUCCCUGGGCUCAACCCAGGACGUGCGUUCGAUACUGCAUUGCUAGAGUGCGGUAGAGGAAAGUGGAAUUCCUAGUGUAGGGGUGAAAUCCGUAGAUAUUAGGAGGAAUACCAAAGGCGAAGGCGGCUUUCUGGCCCGCAACUGACACUCAGACCCGAAAGCGUGGGUAGCAAACAGGAUUAGAUACCCUGGUAGUCCACGCCGUAAACGAUGGAUGCUUGUCGUUGGAGGAUUGAAACCUUCAGUGACGGAGUUAACGCGUUAAGCAUCCCGCCUGGGGAGUACGGUCGCAAGAUUAAAACUCAAAGAAAUUGACGGGGACCCGCACAAGCAGUGGAGCAUGUGGUUUAAUUCGACGCAACGCGAAGAACCUCAUCCUGGUUUUGACAUCUACUGGACGACUCUUGGAAACAAGGUUUUCCCUUCGGGGACCGGUAGACAGGUGCUGCAUGGCUGUCGUCAGCUCGUGUCGUGAGAUGUUGGGUUAAGUCCCGCAACGAGCGCAACCCACGCCCCUUGUUGCCAUCAUUUAGUUGGGCACUCUAGGGGGACCGCCGGCGUCAAGCCGGAGGAAGGUGUGGAUGACGUCAAGUCCUCAUGGCCCUUAUGACCAGGGCUACACACGUGCUACAAUGGAAUAUACAAAGGGCAGCCAAACCGUAAGGUGGAGCUAAUCUCAAAAAAUAUUCCUCAGUUCGGAUUGAGGUCUGCAACUCGACCUCAUGAAGCUGGAAUUGCUAGUAAUCGCAGAUCAGCAUGCUGCGGUGAAUACGUUCUCGGGUCUUGUACACACCGCCCGUCACACCACGAAAGUCGUUUGCACCAGAAGUCGCUGUCCUAACUUCGGAGGGAGGCGCCCAAGGUGUGAGCGGUGAUUGGGGUGAAGUC